CCUACGGGAGGCAGCAGUGAGGAAUAUUGGUCAAUGGGCUUACGCCUGAACCAGCCAAGUCGCGUGAGGGAAGACUGCCCUAUGGGUUGUAAACCUCUUUUGUCAGGGAGCAAUUGGCGCUACGUGUAGCGUUAUCGAGAGUACCUGAAGAAAAAGCAUCGGCUAACUCCGUGCCAGCAGCCGCGGUAAUACGGAGGAUGCGAGCGUUAUCCGGAUUUAUUGGGUUUAAAGGGUGCGUAGGCGGAAUGCCAAGUCAGCGGGAAAAUCGCGGGGCUCAACCUCGCUCCGCCGUUGAAACUGGCGUUCUUGAGUGGGCGAGAAGUAGGCGGAAUGCGUGGUGUAGCGGUGAAAUGCAUAGAGAUCACGAAGAACUCCGAUUGCGAAGGCAGCAUACCGGCGCCCAACUGACGCUGAAGCACGAAAGCGUGGGUAUCGAACAGGAUUAGAUACCCCAGUAGUC
rnacentral:rRNA from 1 species